rnacentral:rRNA from 1 species
AUUGAACGCUGGCGGCAGGCCUAACACAUGCUAGUCGAACGAGUGGCGGACGGGUGAGUAAUGUCUGGGAAACUGCCUGAUGGAGGGGGAUAACUACUGGUAACGGUAGCUAAUACCGCAUACCAUCAGAUGUGCCCAGAGGGGAUUAGCUAGUUGGUGGGGGAACGGCUCACCAAGGCCCCGAGCCCUAGCUGGUCUGAGAGGAUGACCAGCCACGCUGGAACUGAGACACGGUCCAGACUCCAACGGGAGGCAGCAGGGGGGAAUAUUGCUCAAUGGGCGCAAGCCUGAUGCAGCCAUGCCGCGUGUAUGAAGAAGGCCUUCGGGUUGUAAAGUACUUUCAGCGGGGAGGCGUUACCCGCAGAAGAAGCACCGGCGAACUCCGUGCCAGCAGCCGCGGUAAUUC